rnacentral:piRNA from 1 species
UCGUAAUUAAUUCAAAAUAAU